UGGAGAAUAUUGGACAAUGGGCGAAAGCCUGAUCCAGCAAUACCGCGUGAGUGAUGAAGGCCCUAGGGUUGUAAAGCUCUUUUACCCGGGAUGAUAAUGACAGUACCGGGAGAAUAAGCUCCGGCUAACUCCGU
rnacentral:rRNA from 1 species